UCAGUUUGUUUGCUUCAAGAAGUAGUAUGUGGAUAAAACAUUUCCUGUAAAAAGAAUAUAUUUCAUCAAUCAUAACGUGUUUAUGAGACGUAUUGGCUCUCAUAAUGACGAUUUUAGCGGAUAUUUCUGUCUGUUACACAGUUGUCAAAAUCUAAAACGCUUCACAAUUUAUCUGUCAAAUCAUUUCUUAUUAUACGAUUUUAAAAUGACAUCAACUGUAGUAACACAUCUUUGAUACAUUUUAGUGCUUAUAUGCUUCUCAAAGUUUUCUACUUUCACUUUAUUUAUUUUUAAGAUGAUUGUAUAACUGUUGAUCAAUGGAUAGCUGAAAGACUGUCAAAUGAAUAUGGAAUUAGGUUGUAGUAGAUACAGUCAAGUUACCAUUACCGGAUCAUUACCCAUAGAGGAUCACUUUCAUGUUCAAGAAUGCGCUUCCCGAUAAAUAGUUGUCAGUUUUGGAUGAUAUUUUGAACACAGCAUUUUCAAUCACAUAUAGAAAACAAUUAUAACAAAAACAAAUGAAUAUAAUUUACAACUGGCAAUGUAAUUUGGGCAUUGUAAACAACACAGUUCAUGUUUCGACAGUUCAAAUAGCGUGGUAGAAGCCCCCUGAGUGGUUUCGAUCACGUGAUCCGUUAUGGCUACAACUGAUCUGUUAAUGCAUGAAUUCUGCAGCGAAAAAAAGGUAUCACAAAUACAUUUUGCCUGCGUUUAAAAAUAAGACUAUAUGCUGAAUCAGCGAGCAAAGGUAAUAUUUAAUCAAACUGAUGUAAAAGAAGUCUCAAAACAUUUAUUGCUUUUCACCAGAACAACUUUAUUACGCUACUGAUCCGUGAAGAACUCCAAUGAUAUACAUGUAGGGGCAUGUGUCCAAAGCUGAUCCACAUCAUAACAUACUCAUUGGGAAUAAUGACAUACAAUGUAGUACCAAAAGAUGUGCUUAUACUGUAAUUAGCAGAUCUUCACAAUUGAACCUGGCAGAUCCUGGUGCAACCUUACCUUACCAUGUUUACAUCUAACCGUCAGUUUGAGCUGUGUGUGGGUGGUAACACGGACUAUAUACAUGUAUUGCCCAGUGAUUGUCUUGUGAUGGACCUUUUUAACAUAUCAAGUAUUUAAUUGAAGACUUAAGAGGUCAGCUUUCAUCAAAGAAUUUAAAAAUACUGUUUUUUUUUGUAAGGGUGAAUAUGUGGUUAUAAUGGCAUUGAUGUAUAUCUUGUGUCUGUUUUUUAAUCAGCCUUUCAUCCAUUAUUAUGAAUAUUAAGCAUGAUAAAGUAUUUUAAGGGAAUAUAAUGUAGAAAUGUUAUGUUGUUUCUGCACAAGCUUUUGAAUACAAGAAAUUCUAUGUUCACUCAGCACUGUUUACACAUUGUCAUUGAAUUUGCUUGUUUUAGUUUCCAAAUCUGUCUGUCUCUAGCUCCCUGUGAAUAAUGUACUUUUUUACAUUGCAUCCAUUGAUUUUAAAUGGGGUGUAUUAUGCACAUGUCACACUUUUUUACAAAAACAUCAAGGUCAAAGGUAAAAUAUAUUGGUCAAAAUCAUAACUUUUGCAUUAUUGAAGAUAGCAACUUGAUAUUUGGCAUGCAUGUGUACCUCAUGGAGCUGCACAUUUUGAGUGGUGAAAGGUCAAGGUCAUCCUUCAAGGUCAAAGGUCAAAUAUAUGGGUCAAAAUCGCUCAAAAAGGGACAUUGUGUAUUGUGUUUUACAAACACAUACCUUGUUAUGUUAUGUAAUGGCCUUUCAAUCAUCUUAUUUUUUUAUGAAAUACGCUGGAUUUGUCUUUUCAUUUCAUCCAUGAUAUCAUUAUGUUUUUUUUGCCUGUUACAUUUUGCGGCCCAAUGUACGUGUUAAGCAGUUUAACCAUUUACAACGGCAUUUGUGGCGAGGCUUACAGUCAUAAGGUUGGUCAUUACAUGCACUGCAUAUCAUAAAAUCGUUUGGCUUUUAUUGACAAAAUUUGCGAAAACGGUGUUAAAGACUAAACAUCACAAGUGUCGCAACUUCGUCCCCACCUGGGAAUUCAGAGCGCAAAUUUCAGAUUUUAAUGUGUCAGAUUUUACACUUGUAUAAUGAAGAAGUCAUCUCUUGACAAGAUGGUGAUGUCCUGAUCUCGUUCCAAGCCACACAUGAUACUUGUUUUGCUUUUAAUCAAAAUCGGUGUUAAAUAGUAAACAUAAAAAGUGUCACAAAUUCGUCCCUAUUGAGAAGUCAGAGCUAAAAUUUCUGAUUUUAAUUUGUCAGAUUUUGCACUUUUAUAAUGAAGAAGUCAUCUCUUGACAAGAUGGUGGUGUCCUUAUCUCGUGCCGAGCCACAAAUGAUUCUUGUUUUGGUUCAAAGCAACAUAUAAACGAAGAUUUUUUUAAUGUACUUUGUUUUAAAUUCUGUUCUUUGAAAAAUGCAUGUACUUUGUUUUAAAUUCAGUUCUUUGAAAAAUGCAUAAUAAGUCAUCAACUAUUAUAAUUUUAUGAAAAUAUUACUUUAAUUUUGGUUAAUGCAGUUAUUGAUAGAAAUUGUUUUAACGCAAAGAUGUAGAUAACGUUCGCGAACCACAAUAGAAACGUUCGUUGAGUUCACGUUUAAACGCGACGGUCACGUUCUUACAGUGGGUAUUAUUUGUUGAUCUUACUUCACUUUAUCGACCAUUUGUCAUUUAACAGUAUGAACACACGAACAAUCAAAGUAAAAUUAGAUGUAAGCGAUCGUUUUUUUCCGUUUAAGUAUCAAACAUUGGCUCGAAAAAGUGUGUGCAAAGGCUCAUUAUCGACAAUAAAGAUAACUUAAUAAUAAGCUGUAAACACAACAAGCAACAGUUUAUGGGAUUUAAGUAUUAGUCUUAUUAAAAUAUACGGUCAGUACAAACAUAUAUUGUAAUAUAUGCUACUAACAAUCGUUAAGUAUAAACUGUAAGCAAACAUCAACAAUAACAAUAACAGUUCGAGUAUAAAUAUAGGUGAAUGGAAAAAGUGAAAAUCAUUUAAUUGUCUUAUAAAAAUUAUGAGCACAAUUUUUCCACAUUCCAGUGACUCUUAUCUUCGGACAACAUAGGUACGGAUUCAGAUAACUGAAGCCCAUUUAUAACACCCUUUACCUUGCGUCUCUAUAAGAUAUGAGCGGCUUCUAUGUGACUUGAAUAUAAUUGAUCAUUUGAUAUUAAAGCGUAAUUAUUUUAGUGCAGUCAGACGCAGUAGCCGCCAAAACGUACACCUACUACGUUUGUUAAGUGAAAUGUCUGUGCGCCGUUAUUUUGCUAGAUUUCGUAUAACGUCUUCCUUAUGAACUGCAUAAUGUUACAACUUUGAUAAAAACACUCAAUUCACCAUUAUUGUUGAGUUAAUCAUAACGCUAAAACGGACUAACUAAUGUACAUGGAGAAAGUAAAUAAAAAACAUUUUCUGGAGCAAGAAGUUGAAAAACAAAACAUUACACAUCAAUUUUGACUUCCAUUGCAACCAAAUUUAGGUUCGAUGGUGACAGCCAGAUAUUGCUCUCUAUUAAUUGAAUGUUUGAAAAAUUCGUUAGACCAGUAUCAUACGAAAAUGGAUCUUAUUUAAUUGUGGUUCCCUCAUUGAACUUAUGUUGUCUGUCGACUUUUAGAAUAAUGUGUAAGAAAUAAAUGUAUUGCUUCAGAUUCACGAGCUUUUUUUUAAGAAAUGAAAUAUGCAAAUGUAUGUUAUAUAUAUUUUUUUCUGUUUCUUAAACGUAUCUUAUUUAUUUGUGACUACGUGCUUAUUUUUUUUAAGAUAUGAGAGAUUCAAAUGUGUCUUAUUUAUCUUUUAUCCAUGUCUUAAAUAUGUUUUAUUUAUAUAAGACUACAUUCUAUACUGCCAGUGUCAUGCGAAAAUGGAUCUUAUUUCUUAAUAUCCACCUUCACACUUUAUUCUUUAUUAGCGCCGUCUUUCAUUAGGCUAUCACUAUUUAAAGAACAGAUUACUGUGAAAUUAAUUAAAAUGUGCAACGGUGAUAUUGAUCCAUUCUCGUUGUUAAUUUAAAAUGUACACAACAGUUUAGCAAUAAAUGAAAUCAGUUAUUUUGGCAGUUAAUCCUUUUUUUCCAGUACGUUAGCCAGGUGCCUGUGUAUUGAGCUGACAAGAUAGGGAUCAUCACAGCAGGUUGCUAAUACACAGUGUAGACUUCCCCUGUUUUAUUAUUGUAUUUGUUAUUUACCUGAUUGGAAUAAAUGAAGUGUAUUCAA